rnacentral:rRNA from 1 species
GACGAACGCUGGCGGCGUGCUUAACACAUGCAAGUCGAACGGUGAAGCGCCUUCCUUUUUGGUGGGUGUGGAUGAGUGGCGAACGGGUGAGUAACACGUGAGUAACCUGCCCCCUUCUUCUGGAUAACCGCAUGAAAGUGUGGCUAAUACGGGAUAUUCUGGGUCUGUCGCAUGAUGGGUCUGGGAAAGAUAUUGUUUCGGUGGGGGAUGGGCUCGCGGCCUAUCAGCUUGUUGGUGGGGUGAUGGCCUACCAAGGCGGUGACGGGUAGCCGGCCUGAGAGGGUGGACGGUCACACUGGUACUGAGACACGGCCCAGACUCCUACGGGAGGCAGCAGUGGGGAAUAUUGCACAAUGGGCGCAAGCCUGAUGCAGCGACGCCGCGUGAGGGAUGGAGGCCUUCGGGUUGUGAACCUCUCUCGCCAGUGAAGCAGGCCUGCCUCGUUUGUGGGUGGGUUGACGGUAGCUGGAUAAGAAGCGCCGGCUAACUACGUG